rnacentral:rRNA from 1 species
AUUGAACGCUGGCGGCAGGCCUAACACAUGCAAGUCGAACGGGAGGCAGACGGGUGAGUAAGGUCUGGGAAACUGCCCGAUGGAGAGGGAUAACUACUGGAAACGGUAGCUAAUACCGCAUACCAUCGGAUGUGCCCAGAUGGGAUUAGCGAGUGGGUGGGGUAACGGCUCACCAAGGCGACGAUCCCUAGCUGGUCUGAGAGGAUGACCAGCCACACUGGGACUGAGACACGGUCCAGACUCCUACGGGAGGCAGCAGUGGGGAAUAUUGGACAAUGGGGGCAAGCCUGAUGCAGCCAUGCCGCGUGUAUGAAGAAGGCCUUCGGGUUGUAAAGCACUUUCGGCGGGGAGGCGUUACUUGCAGAAGAAGCACCGGCUAACUCCGUGCCAGCAGCCGCGGUAAUUC